GACGAACGCUGGCGGCGUGCUUAACACAUGCAAGUCGAACGAAGUGGCGAACGGGUGAGUAACGCGUAAUCAACCUGCCCUUCAGAGGGGGACAACAGUUGGAAACGACUGCUAAUACCGCAUACUGCCGGAGGGGAGUGCGUCUGAUUAUCUAGUUGGAGGGGUAACGGCCCACCCAGGCGAUGAUCAGUAGCCGGUCUGAGAGGAUGAACUGCCACAUUGGGAAUGAGACAAGGCCCAGACUCCGUCGGGAGGCAGCAGUGGGGAAUCUUCCGGCAUGGACGAAAGUCUGACGAAGCAAAGCCGCGUGAGGUAUGACGGCCUUCGGGUUGUAAAGCUCUGUUAAUCGGGACGCGGUACCGGAAUAGAAAGCCACGGCUAACUACGUGCCAGCAGCCGCGGUAAUUC
rnacentral:rRNA from 1 species